AUGCAAGGGGGCAAGAGAGGCAGUGAAGGAGGAAAUGGGAGGGUGGAGGCUGUUCAGCUGAGCCAGCUAACUUCCUGGACACAGGAAAGAGAGAGAGAAGACUGGUUGUGAGGAAGGAGGGGGAGAAUCAGUUCAGGCAAUUUUUACUUACCCAAGGUUCUUUCCCCUGGGUCAGGCUUGCCCAGGCUCGACUGUUGGGACUGACUGGACUGCAGUCAAUGGAGUCUUGAAGAGGUCCUGCUUCAUGGCAUAGCUGGACCUCUCACAUGGUCCUCCUCCUCCUCUACCUCCUCCUUGUCCUCACUGUUCAUGCCAGGGGCCUGAGACUCAGGCUCCUUGGAGGUAUCCAUAGUGGUGUGCAGGGUAGCAGGGGGUUCUCCCCCAAGUACGGCAUGCAGCUCUUUGUAAAAGCAGCAUUCUGAAGUUCAGCACCAGAUUGAUUGCGGCCUUCUUGGCUUUCUUUUAUUCCUGCCGCAGAUCCUCCAUCGUUGUGCCACAAUGCUGCUGAUCCCUGUCAUUUCCCUUCCCCUGCAGCCCCUGUGCAAUAGAUGUCCAUGUUUCUACAGAUGGUCCAUUGCUGUGCUUGCACAGCAUCUCCCCACAAGCGGAGGAGAUCCAAUAUCUCCUGUAUACUACAUGCCGGAGUGUGUCAGGAGCAUGUAACUGGCAUGGUCAGCUGGCAGUUGCACACAACAAUGGAGGCCUGCUAGGUGUGCUCAUCCAGAUAGGCAAUCAGGAAAAGUCUUUUCAAAAAUUCACAUAGUUUUAAAUGGAGGAGGAGGGGAGCGUCUGGUCGUGACCCCUGGGCAGUGGAUUUAACAAUUGUGACCAGAUCAAUCAGUGUCAGACAUUUUUACCAUAUUUGCUAUAAAUGGUUGUGUGGUCUUCUCUGCACUUGUAUUCAGGAACUUUAAUGAUAACAUCAGUGACAGCAAGAGCACAAGACAAUUUAAGAAAUAAACAUCUUCUGCAUUCCUUAUAUAACAUCAACAACAGGAUCAGUUGGUUAGCCAUGAUUUUUUCCAUGAUGCAUCACAAUAGUUCUUAGUUAGUGUUCAAGACAAAGUCAGGAUUGUCCCCAUUGGUCUGAUAACCUCCUCUGAAGAAAGUGUCAUUCUGAUUACAACAGUGAGAGUGCAAAAUCACACAUUUCUCAGUGAAUUUUGGGCAUGAUCGAAAGCCAACUUAGGUCUCUUAUUAACUUCAGUGGACAGUGGAUGAGACCCUUGAACACAACUUCACCACUAUUAAGAACCUUGCUGCAGCAACUGGCUGCAAAGGCUGCUGGAAAGUUUUGAUGCUUUCAGAGUAAAGCUUUACCGUUUCUUUGCCCAGAACAAUGGUUAUUCCAGCUAUUAGUUCCUACUUUUUAUACUCUAAUAAAUGUGUUAGUCU